GCCGAAAAUGUACCGGGGCUAAACAUAUUACCGAAGCUGUGGAUUGUCCGUAGGACAAUGGUAGGAGAGCGUUCUAAGGGCGUUGAAGCAUGAUCGCAAGGACAUGUGGAGCGCUUAGAAUUGAGAAUGCCGGUGUGAGUAGCGAAAGACGGGUGAGAAUCCCGUCCACCGAUUGACUAAGGUUUCCAGAGGAAGGCUCGUCCGCUCUGGGUUAGUCGGGUCCUAAGCUGAGGCCGACAGG
rnacentral:rRNA from 1 species